rnacentral:rRNA from 1 species
GACGAACGCUGGCGGCGUGCUUAACACAUGCAAGUCGAACGAUGAACCCGGAGCUUGCUCCGGCGGAUUAGUGGCGAACUGGUGAGUAACACGUGAGUAACCUGCCCUUGACUCUGGGAUAACUGCGGGAAACUGUAGCUAAUACCGGAUACGACCCUCGGCGGCAUCGCCAGGGGGUGGAAAGAAUUUCGGUCAAGGAUGGACUCGCGGCCUAUCAGCUAGUUGGUGAGGUAACGGCUCAACAAGGCGACGACGGGUAGCCGGCCUGAGAGGGUGACCGGCCACACUGGGACUGAGACACUGCCCAGACUCCUACGGGAGGCAGCAGUGGGGAAUAUUGCACAAUGGGCGCAAGCCUGAUGCAGCAACGCCGCGUGAGGGAUGACGGCCUUCGGGUUGUAAACCUCUUUUAGUAGGGAAGAAGCGAAAGUGACGGUACCUGCAGAAAAAGCACCGGCUAACUACGUGCCAGCCGCCGCGGUAA